rnacentral:misc_RNA from 1 species
AAAGAUGAUAAAUGCUAAAAGUGCAUAAAGUUCAAGUGAUCCAAGUAAUAUUAACAGAAAUGAAUUAUCUUUUUCCAUUGAAAAUCUCCAUUGUUGGCGCUUAUAUUGUUUACAAUUUCAACUUUUUAAUUUUUUAUGAACACCAAACAAUCGCAAAUUGUAUAACAAUUUCGAUUUUGUCACCUCUGGAUUGUCAAAUAUAUCAGAUUAUUGGACUAUCUCUAUACAGAGGCAGGCUCGUGUGCAGGCAAAUACAUCCAUACAUUCUCUAUCUGUCAUUCAAAAUCUUAUGAAGUAGCUUAUGAUUCAUUUCUGUGGAUUUUA